AUUCCUCAUCCUUACUCCAGGGUUAUUGUUGUUUUUACAUUCCCUGGCAUUAAUGAGGAUAAAAUAAUUGCUCACAUUCUACCUUUGGAAACCUGUUUUUCUUAGGGCUGAAUAAUAUGCAAACACU
rfam:Xenopus laevis strain J chromosome 1S, whole genome shotgun sequence.